rnacentral:lncRNA from 13 species
GUGAGAAGCCCGCCACUGGCAAUUGGGAAAAGAGCCUGUAGCAGAAUCAGACUAUGCCGGCACCAUGAUCUCAGACUUCCAGCCUCCAGAACCUUCUUUCUUCAGAUAUCUAUCGAAGUUACAGCCAGAUGUCAAUGAGAAGUGCAGUUAUCUCCAGAGUCAUCUGAGUUCUGUGUCCAAGAUGGUGUCUUCAUUCCUGUGUCUGGUGCCCAAGCUUGAAUGGCUGCAAGAACUGGAGGCUGAACAUCUCUUUACACGUGACCUUUCUACGUAGCUUUCCCAUAGGGCUUCCUCAUGUCCGGGUGGUCUUAGAUAACUUCUUACCUGGCAGCUAGCUUUCCCUAAAAUGAAUGUUCCAAAAGACCAAGGUAGAAGCUGUGAGGGUUCUUUCAACCAAGUCAUGGAAAUGCCUUCUUCUGCAAUCUACUGCUCACUAGCUAAUCACAGUCCAGUAAGAAUGAAAGGGAGGUGAUUCCACAGGGCACUGGGAGGGGUGGUCCAUUGGGGUCCAUCUUUGAUGUCAGGUACUGUGUGUAUCUUGACUGGGCCUAAGCAGUUAGUUUCUGGACAUUCACAUAAUACUACCAACCAGUUCUUCACUUUGUAUCUGGAUUUUUUUUUUUUUUAGAUGGAGUUUCGCUCUUGUUACCCAGGCUGGAGUACAAUGGCGUGAUCUCGGCUCACCUGGGUUCAGGCAACUCUCCUACCUCAGCCUCCUGAGUAGCUGGGAUUACAGGCACGUGCCACCAUGCCCAGCUAAUUUUUUUUUUUUUUGUAUUUUUAGUAGAGAUGGGGUUUCACCACGUUGAACAGGAUGGUCUCGAUCUCUUGACCUCGUGAUCCACCCACCUCGGCCUCCCAAAGUUCUGGGAUUAUAGGCUUGAGCCACCACACCCGGCCUGGAUUGGUUUUUUAAAUGCAUCGCAGUGACCAUGUAACUCAAAGUCUUCACAUCCUUCAGAUGUGGAAUUUGUAAUCCCAUCCUCAUGACACAGUUUUUCGCUAAUCAGAGUUUAAAAAGCUGGGUGUGAUGGUGUGCACCUGUAAUCUCCACUACUCAGGAGGCUGAGGAUUGCCUGAGCCCAGGAGUUGGAGGCUGCAGUGAACUAGGAUUACCUCACUGCACUUCAGACUAGGUGACAG